UACGGGGGGGGGCAAGCGGUUGUUCGGAAUUACUGGGCGUAAAGGGCUCGUAGGUGGCCAACUAAGUCAGACGUGAAAUCCCUCGGCUUAACCGGGGAACUGCGUCUGAUACUGGAUGGCUUGAGGUUGGGAGAGGGAUGCGGAAUUCCAGGUGUAGCGGUGAAAUGCGUAGAUAUCUGGAGGAACACCGGUGGCGAAGGCGGCAUCCUGGACCAAUUCUGACACUGAGGAGCGAAAGCCAGGGGAGCAAACGGG
rnacentral:rRNA from 1 species